rnacentral:rRNA from 1 species
CCGAACCGACUAGUGUUGCAAAAUUAGCGGAUGAGCUGUGGAUAGGGGUGAAAGGCCAAACAAAUCUGGAGAUAGCUGGUUCUCCCCGAAAACUAUUGAGGUAGUGCCUCGUGUGUCGCUCCAGGGGGUAGAGCACUGUUUUGGCUAGGGGGACAUGGAGUCUUACCAAACCAAGGCAAACUCCGAAUACCUGGAAGCGUGAGCACGGGAGACAGAGCACCGGGUGCUAACGUCCGGACUCAAAAGGGAAACAACCCAGACCGCCGGCUAAGGUCCCAAAUAACAGCUAAGUGGAAAACGAAGUGGAAAGGCCGUGACAACCAGGAAGUUGGCUUAGAAGCAGCCAUCCUUCAAAGAAAGCGUAAUAGCUCACUGGUCGAGUCCUUCUGCGCGGAAGAUGUAACGGGGCUAAGCUGUUAACCGAAGCCGCGGAUGCACUGGUUAUCCAGUGCGUGGUAGGGGAGCGUUCUGUAAGUCUGCGAAGGCGGUUCGAGAGGACUGCUGGAGAUAUCAGAAGUGCGAAUGCUGACAUGAGUAACGUUAAAGCAGGUGAAAAGCCUGCUCGCCGUAAGCCCAAGGAUUCCUGCUCUACGUUCAUCGGAGCAGGGUGAGUCGGCUCCUAAGGUCAGGCCGAAAGGCGUAGCCGAUGGGAAUCAGGUUAAUAUUCCUGAACCUGCGUCAGAUGCGAUGGGGGGACGGAGCAUGGAAGAUCAUCCGGGUGUUGGAAGUCCCGGUUGUUUAGCGUAGGAGGUCUGCAGGCAAAUCCGCAGACGCAUCUCCAAGGCAAAGACACGUGCCGCUACGGCGGCGAAGUGAUCGGAAGUGCUUCCAAGAAAAGCCUCUAAGCACCAGUCUGAUGCGGACCGUACCGCAAACCGACACUGGUGGGCGAGCUGAAUAUGCUCAGGCGCUUGAGAGAACUCGGGAGAAGGAACUCGGCAAAUUGACACCGUAACUUCGGAAGAAGGUGUGCCGUAGUACCGUGAGAGGAGAGACACCUUGAGCGGGAAACGGUCUCAGAGAAUAGGUGGCUGCGACUGUUUAUUAAAAACACAGCACUCUGCAAAGUCGAAAGACGACGUAUAGGGUGUGAUGCCUGCCCGGUGCUGGAAGAUUAAUUGAUGGGGUGAGAGCCCUUGAUCGAAGUCCCAGUAAACGGCGGCCGUAACUAUAACGGUCCUAAGGUAGCGAAAUUCCUUGUCGGGUAAGUUCCGACCUGCACGAAUGGCAUAACGAUGGCCACACUGUCUCCUCCCGAGACUCAGUGAAGUUGAAAUGUUUGUGAUGAUGCAAUCUACCCGCGGCUAGACGGAAAGACCCCAUGAACCUUUACUGCAGCUUUGCAUUGAACUGUGAACCGAUUUGUGUAGGAUAGGUGGGAGGCAGAGAAGAGGCCACGCCAGUGGCCUUGGAGCCGACCUUGAAAUACCACCCUGAUUUGUUUGCGGUUCUAACCACGGACAGUGAUCCUGUCUUGGGACCGUGCAUGGUAGGCAGUUUGACUGGGGCGGUCUCCUCCUAAAGGGUAACGGAGGAGUACGAAGGUACGCUAGGUACGGUCGGAAAUCGUGCUGAUAGUGCAAUGGCAAAAGCGUGCUUGACUGCGAGAGCAACAACUCGAGCAGAUGCGAAAGCAGGUCAUAGUGAUCCGGUGGCUCUGAAUGGAAGGGCCAUCGCUCAACGGAUAAAAGGUACUCUGGGGAUAACAGGCUGAUACCGCCCAAGAGUUCAUAUCGACGGCGGUGUUUGGCACCUCGAUGUCGGCUCAUCUCAUCCUGGGGCUGUAGUCGGUCCCAAGGGUAUGGCUGUUCGCCAUUUAAAGAGGUACGUGAGCUGGGUUUAAAACGUCGUGAGACAGUUUGGUCCCUAUCUGCCGUGGGCGUUGGAAGAUUGACGGGGGCUGCUCCUAGUACGAGAGGACCGGAGUGGACGCACCUCUGGUGUACCGGUUGUCACGCCAGUGGCAUUGCCGGGUAGCUAAGUGCGGAAGAGAUAACCGCUGAAAGCAUCUAAGCGGGAAACUUGCCUGAAGAUGAGUCUUCCCGGAGGUUGAACCUCCCUCAAGAGUCGUCCGAGACCAGGACGUCGAUAGGUCAGGUGUGUAAGCGCUGUAAGGCGUUGAGCUAACUGAUACUAAUUGCUCGUGAGGCUUGAUCCU